rnacentral:rRNA from 1 species
UACGUAGGGUGCAAGCGUUGUCCGGAAUUAUUGGGCGUAAAGAGCUCGUAGGCGGUUCGUCACGUCGGCUGUGAAAUCCCGAGGCUCAACCUCGGGUCUGCAGUCGAUACGGGCGGACUGGAGUACUGCAGGGGAGACUGGAAUUCCUGGUGUAGCGGUGAAAUGCGCAGAUAUCAGGAGGAACACCGGUGGCGAAGGCAGCUCUCUGGGACGGUACUGACGCUGAGACGCGAAAGCGUGGGGAGCGAACAGG